GCCUUCUACAAUAGUUAUCAGAGUCAAAUACUGUGGCAGCUGGCCACCGCUAUUAGAUGUUGUCCAAUGACCGCUUCCAUUUAUACCAACCUUCUCUUCUCAGAUUUAUGAAUGUAAUACUGUACCCAUGGAAAAUGUUGGAGCACCUCAGAUAACACUACUCUUAUCACUGAUACAUCUGAUACAGCUGACAAAGAAAGCAGAGGAGAACCACCAAGAGAUGUGGGAAGCUCCUUCAUCAAAGACAUAACGGAGAGUCCACCUGCUAAGACUUUCACCCUGCUGGUGCUGUUUGAUCCAACCACAUUUAAUAGCUUUCACACAUGGAUUUUAUGUACUGGCAUUACAGUGGGAAGAAACAUCUAGGGGAAA